ACAUGCAGUCGAGGGGCAGCAUGAUUGAAGCUUGCUUCAAUUGAUGGCGACCGGCGCACGGGUGAGUAACGCGUAUCCAACCUUCCGUACACUCAGGGAUAGCCUUUCGAAAGAAAGAUUAAUACCUGAUGGUAUGGUGAGAUUGCAUGAUAUCAUCAUUAAAGAUUCAUCGGUGUACGAUGGGGAUGCGUUCCAUUAGGUAGUAGGCGGGGUAACGGCCCACCUAGCCUACGAUGGAUAGGGGUUCUGAGAGGAAGGUCCCCCACAUUGGAACUGAGACACGGUCCAAACUCCUACGGGAGGCAGCAGUGAGGAAUAUUGGUCAAUGGACGAGAGUCUGAACCAGCCAAGUAGCGUGAAGGAUGAAGGUCCUACGGAUUGUAAACUUCUUUUAUAAGGGAAUAAAACCUCCCACGUGUGGGAGCUUGUAUGUACCUUAUGAAUAAGCAUCGGCUAACUCCGUGCCAGCAGCCGCGGUAAUACGGAGGAUGCGAGCGUUAUCCGGAUUUAUUGGGUUUAAAGGGAGCGCAGACGGGUCGUUAAGUCAGCUGUGAAAGUUUGGGGCUCAACCUUAAAAUUGCAGUUGAUACUGGCGUCCUUGAGUGCGGUUGAGGUGUGCGGAAUUCGUGGUGUAGCGGUGAAAUGCUUAGAUAUCACGAAGAACUCCGAUUGCGAAGGCAGCACACUAAGCCGUAACUGACGUUCAUGCUCGAAAGUGUGGGUAUCAAACAGGAUUAGAUACCCUGGUAGUCCACACGGUAAACGGUGGAUACUCGCUGUUGGCGAUAUACAGUCAGCGGCUUAGCGAAAGCGUUAAGUAUCCCACCUGGGGAGUACGCCGGCAACGGUGAAACUCAAAGGAAUUGACGGGGGCCCGCACAAGCGGAGGAACAUGUGGUUUAAUUCGAUGAUACGCGAGGAACCUUACCCGG
rnacentral:rRNA from 1 species